CUCCCACCCGGUUCGCGGCGCUCGGGAGCCAGGCGGGGAUGGAGCCGAGUUGCUCCCGCCGGACCAGCCUGCCCCCUCCUCUUCCAGCCCCGGCGUCCCUGCCCUGGCUUGCUCGAAGCACUGUCUCCUUGGAGAACGCUGGAAGAAGCCCCUUCCCUGGGCAGAAGCUUUUCCUGUCAACAGCUUUUCUUUCCCCGGCAUGGAACUCAUCGCAGAAGCAAAACCGAUGAGGGGCCACAUCCGGCUUAUCCUCCA